UACGUAGGGUGCAAGCGUUGUCCGGAAUUAUUGGGCGUAAAGAGCUCGUAGGCGGCUGCGCAAGUCGGUUGUGAAACCCCGGGGCUCAACCCCGGAACUGCAUCCGAUACUGCGUGGCUAGAGGUAGGUAGGGGAGAUCGGAAUUCCUGGUGUAGCGGUGAAAUGACGCAGAUAUCAGGAGGAACACCGGUGGCGAAGGCGGAUCUCUGGGCCUUACCUGACGCUCAGGCACGAAAGCUAGGGGGAGCGAACAGG
rnacentral:rRNA from 1 species